GUUUCCUCCCGAGUUUUUUUUUUUUUUUUGAUAUCUGUUGGACAACGGUAUGGAAUCGCGUUCGACGAGGGGGAUAGAUAAAGGGAUAUAGGGUUUAGGGUUAGAUUGAGCGUGAUUAAGUGUUUUUCUUUUUCUUUUUUUUUUAUAUCGGAUGGAUGUACUGUCGAGGAGUAGCCGGGGUGGGAUGAGGAGAGUAGAUAGGGAAGGGAAAUGGAAGAGAUGUUGUGACAUCGUUCGGGACAUGUGUGUAAUGGGUAAGCGUGAUCCGACUACGGUGUUCGUAGGAAUAGAGGAGUGGCUAGGAAAUAUCCUUGCGAUUGGGAAUCGCGGCGAUGACGAGUUUGAGUUGGGUCAGGGAUCCGAUGCGGGAUCUUUGGAUGCGUGCAAAGCGUGAUUGCGGUUUUGGAGGGAGGGUAUUGGUUUUUUCUUUUUUUUCUUUUUGCGUUUGUCAAGUGUCUAUUGUUCAUGGUGUGGUAGUUGAUUGUGAUUCGAAUAACGAUAGUUGAAUUUCGGUAGUAGAAUAUACUGUUAUAUAGUGUUUCGAGAUUUGGUAAAUACAUUUUUUAAAAUUCGUUUAUGAAUUUUUGCUUAUGAUAUGUGAUUAUUUCUUUAGAUUAAUUAAAAAUAGUAGUAAAUUUAUUUUUGUUUUGUCUUUAUUAAGAUUUAUCGAAUAAAAGGUUUCCUUUUAUUUUAAUUUUCAUUAAUCUUUCGUCUUGAAAUUUAUUAAAAUUCAUUUACUUUUUUCAGAUAGAAAUUUAAACAGAAUUAUAAUUUAAUUAUUGUUAGAAAUUGACAACUAGUUUAGAACAAAUCAAUUCGUAGCGGAUAAGUUAUUGGACGGAGCACUAAUUAAUAUUACUAAUUAAAAUAUCGUUUAUUAUUCGUAGAUGUGAAUAGAAACAUCUUGAAAGCCAGCCAAGUGGUUCCAUUUUUGUGAGCGGAAAUGCUUUUAAAAUAAAAAGUAUACGCGGAACUGUCUGAUUCAUUGGUGAUUGUCAAAAAAGAGAAUCAUCAUCUUGCGUAUAAUAAAUCUUGUGGCUGAAUAAUUUCAUCAAUAAUUUAAAUGUUAUUAAGAAAAUUUUAAUCUCUGAUAGGAAUAAUCAAAAUUUUAUUGGAAUAAAAAUACGCCGAUCGUUUAAAACACUUUUGUCUUUGUGCGAGUUGCAGUUUAUCAUGAUUUUUAUCUUGAUCGGUCGCAGAAUACGAUAUGCAUUUCCGUAUUCCAUAAUAGCGCAAGGCACACCAUUGUCCCUUUUCUUUUGUUAAGAAAGAAAAACGAUUUUCCACUUGCAAUCGCUAGAUAUUCUUUUUUUCUUUUUCGCAUAACACUGCAAUAACACUGUGACGCGAUCAUUAAUUUUUUAAUAAUUUUUAAUUUUUUACAAUUUCUCUUGCAAGAAUUUCUAUUUUAUUCGAACAUUCAAUGUUUCUUCGUUAGCUUUUCUUCUCUUUCAAUUUCCAAAUUAUCUCACUAUAAUUAUAUUUUCAUAAAUCAAUCUCAAUGAAAUAUUCAAAAACUUAUUAAACGGUUCAUCAAUUUAAAGAAUAUCGUUACACUCCUAUACUAGUUUUCUUUAAAAAAUUACGUUGUUUCUUCCGCUAGCAAUGAUACAAAUGUGCAUUACGCACACGGUACUCAUGAAUAAAUGAUUCGACGAUGCCAAGUUAUCCGAAACGUUUCUGAAAAUAAUUUUCGAGGCAAACAAUAUGAUUUAAGGUAACCCUCACUUGUAACAAACUUGAUUUCUUUUCCUAUUCUAGUUUAUAAUAAAGUUUCCUGAAUUUUGCCUCUUUUCUCGUUUCCCCCCUUCUCUCUCAUCCUGCUUUCACGUUUCUUCCAAUGGAUCGAAAUCGAGAUGAUAUAAUUUAUGCAAACCUUGUGAAACAUGGAGUUGUUGUAAUAUUCAAUUGAAUGGACACGAUGGACAGUGGUUUUGCUUUGUCGCGUAAUAUUCACGCAAAACAGUGAUCUCCUGGUGAGUGAAAACUUGUUUUUUAAACAACACGAUCUCCUUUACUUGAUUUCGUUACCGAUUCCUAUGCUUUUACUUGGAUAAUGAGGUCUAUUUGUAAUGAAAUGUUGAAAAAUUCUUUUCUAAAUUGGAAAAAUAUACGCAGUGCAUUAAUUAACCCCUGUCUGAUACGUUAAAAUUGUAAAAAUAUCAGAAAGGAUGGUAGGAAUAUGAGAUAGAAAUAUAAAAUUAAAUUAAAUGAUCGAUCAUAUUAUUAUUCAAAACGUAAUAUUUCCUUUUAUUUUUUACUUGUAAAAAUCAUAUAGAUUUUUGUUCAUAAUAUAAAUGUAAUUCGAUUACUCUUGAUCAUCCUUGAAUCCUUCCUGACAAAUCAUUUUUGAACUUUUACACUCAUCGACAACCGCACAAUGGAAGAAAGAAAACAUUGAUCCUUUGGUUGAUCAAUCGUUUAAAAACCUUGUAUUUCGAAGACUGCAUUAUAAUCAUCCAAGAUUGGAACAAAGAGCAAUCGAAUUUCAUUAUACGAAGAUCAGAACAAUGGGUAUCGACGAAUUUCAUUGGUAUAGGUCCGAUCGAGGAAAUUAUACAGGAGAAUCUGUGAAUCAUCCAGCUUUUCGACCCUUUUUUCCAUUCUCGAAAAUUUCUUCUUAGCCCAUUCUCGAUCCUCAAUCGAGUUUGUCGAACGCAAUUCCGAAUGCAAAUCAACUUCAGCCUUAAGAAUAAUCGCUUUAUAAAUUCGAUUUAAUUCGAAUAUUUCGAAUGACUCGUAACAAUAAUCCUUCAAAAUGUAUAAAUCAAUAGAAAAUUGAUGAUUAGAAAUACAGUCAUACACAUUGAUUUCAUAUUAAUUUGUUCUAAAAGAAGAGAGUACAAGUCGAAAGAGACGUAAGGAAUAGAGAUGAAGUACAAACGCGUGUAGAUAUCUAUGUGUAGAUAUCUAUGUGUGUAAAGAUAUGUUUUAGAUAAUUGUUAAAAGUUUUUAAGUGAGAUUUUGUAAAAAAUGAAGCAAGAAGGUGCAAAUUAAAAUACAGAGAAUAAUGUUUACUUUUUGCAAAAUUAAUGUAAUAAAUUUAAAUUAUUUUUAAAUAUAAAUUAUAGCAAUAAAAUAUCAUUCAAAAUGUAUAAAUUGAUGAUAAGAGAUAAUUUUUUGCAAAAUAUAAAUUUAAAUUCUUUUUUUUUUUUUAAGUAAGAAACUUAUUAAUUAUAAUUUUGUUGAAGGUGAUAAUAGAAAUAAUUAAUAUUCAUAAGUGCAUGAUUUAAAUAGUUGCAAUAACUAUCAUCGAUUGAUUGUGUGCAAAUUAAUGGAAAGAAAUUUAUUCUGUUAGUUACUUUGUUUUACUCAUUCUUAGUGACUCAUUUCUAGAACAUUAUGAUAAUUGUUAAUUUAAUGAUAUUUUUUUUCUAAUCUUUGAUUAGAUAAAGUUUAUAUUAUUAGUAAAAAUUUUCUAAAUAUUUUGUAUUUGGAUAUAUAGAUUCAAAAAUUUCUGUGUGUAUAUUAUAUAUUUAAUUACGCGUGAUAAAAUUCCGAAUUAUUGUCGAUUGACUAGCCGGUAAAUCGUUGUUAUUAGCACGAAAUUGAUUAAUACAUACAUUUUUGCCUUAUCAGUGUGUUUGCAACACGUGCUGUCUUUUUUUUUUUUCAUAGAGAUUAUUUCAUGGAACAAUUUGUUAUAUAUUAAAAAGUAUUCGAUUCUUCCUUUUUUUCUGGAAAUUCGAAAAAAUAUUUUAGAAGAAAAUGAGAUAAGUCUGUUACACAAAUUAUCAAGUCUCUUUUCAAUUAAAAAAUUUUAAUUAAAUGAAACAAAGUAAAUAAUGAAAUCGCGGAAAUAUAUCGAAUUGUUAGAGAAUUAAUGGAGAAUAAUUUUUUCGAUGUAAAAUAAUGUAAAAUUUUAUUUUUACAUUAUUAUAACAAAUUUGGACUAAUAUUUUUAAAUUGGAAAACUAUAUCCCACAAGAAAUUUGAUACAUAAAUUUCCAAAUCGAUUCAACUUUCGAACAACACUCAAGAUAACGCAUUUAAAAUUACUUCAACAAAACAAAAAAUCCUCAAACUAUAAUCACAAAUCUGUCAAAACAUCAUAUUAAAAUUAUAUUAUACAUUUACAAAAUAAUUAUAUUCCAUUCUUAGAAAUCGAUUUAAUUCGUUAAUUCGUUUCUUUCUUGAAGUUGCUCGAUACAACCUCGAUUCGGCUGCAUUUAAAUAGGUUUUAGGGCCGAAUUAAUGCAAAUGCAUUCGACGAUGCUAUCGUCGGGUCAACUGUAGGGUCAGGAAAAAAAGAGGCGCACGUCUUUACCCCUUUCGGUUGAAAUAAAACGUCGAACAGACCACAACACUGCCCCCCCUUUCUCUCUCUCUCUCUCUCUCUCUCUCUCUCUCUCUCUCUCUCUCUCUCUCCAAUCUGCGAUCCCUCUCCUAUUUUCAUUCAAAAUACCUUCUUUCGUUUUCGUCGAUUCACAUUUGGCUCACGUCCAACUCGAAUGGAAAGACUUUCAUUCAUCGUCAAUGGAGCUACUCGAUCGCGACCUGGUUUUCUGUUUCGAAAAAUCGGAUACAUGAAAAUGGGUUCUUGGAAAAUUUGCGCGGAACGAUAAAGCAUGAAUCGGAUAAUAAUAAUCGUUUCGAUAUAAUUUCAAUAACUUCCACGUGUUUCGUGCAUGUUUCGCGCGUGUUUUGUUUACGUUUUCGACACGUGAACGAGUUUAAGAGAAAUAUCUCGAGGAACGAAAUUGUAAGAAUUUCAAAUGGUGUUUCGAUUCCGCGAAUUUUAUUAUUUACAUUGUGCGAUGAUGGAGGAAGGGAAAUUUUCAGGACGAGAUUAUGACGGAACGAGGAAUAUGAAAAGUAGACGAUGGAUAAAGGAAAAUAUUGCAAGAAAGUUAAAAAUUUGCGAUAAUGAUGAUUGUAUUUAAUGAAUUUUUUAUAUUUUUUGAUGUAUCGUAAGAGAAUAAGAGAAAUUGAUUCGUUUGUUUCGUUAAAGAAUCGAUUCCUUUCAAAAUCAUCUUAACACUGUGCCAUUCGUUUUAUCAAAAUCUUUAAACACAAUUGUAUGUUAGCACGUACAAGAAAAAUAAUUAAAUCAAAUCCAGAUAAAUUUAUUCAAAUUAAAAAUCAUCCAAGGGAUAAAAAUUAAUUAAUAAAAGGAUAUUGAUUUAUCGAAGGUUCAUAGACGUAUUUAAAAUUCAUUUUAUGAUUUAGGUUUGGAUAAUAAGAUCCUUUGUUUCGUUCUACGAUUUAUUUUGAUUCACAAGAAAUCGAUUUGCUUCCAAAGAAACGGUCAAUUUCUCGAAGGAAUUUAUUAUGGGGAUUUUAUCACGUUACCGAUGCACCAGCACGUGUCGAGGCGUUUCUCAUUUGCGAUUUUUGCAUUUCUCAGCCAGUCAGAUAGAUGAUUUAAAUACGUUUCUCGUGAAAUCAUCUUAUUAUUUCCACCUUUCUUUAUUUGUUCUGCUCGCGUCGAUGAAUUUUCGAAGAAGUCACGCGUGGAUAAGAUAAAAUGGAAAUAAUUACAAAUUUAUGGUUCGUUUGCGAUAAAUUAAUUGUGAUUGUGAGAUUCUAAAAAAUAUUUGAUUAUCGUAUGCAGACCAAUUUUGCAAUUUGUUAUUAAGGGUGAAUCAUCAUAGUGGCACGAAUUUUCUAUUUUUUUUUAAAUAUUAUAUUAAUCUUUCAAUUUUCUUUUUAUGAAGAAUAAUUUAUAGUAUUAUUUUUGUCAAAGUAAUUUUUCUUUUCUUUUUUAAUUUAUUUAUUUCAACAAUAAAUUUUAAUUUUGUGAAUUGAUUCGAAACGUUGUUCCUAAAUUUUAAUUCAUUAUUUCAUUAUUUACAUUUCAAUUUUAUAUUAUUCUCAAUAAUAUUAUACAAUUAUAUUAUUAUCUUUUACAAUUUCUAAAAUUUCUAAUUCCAAACACAUUCCAAGAUUAAAAAAAGAAGAAUCAAAUUCUAUCUCUAUUUGUCUUUACAAAUUCAAUUAUUUUAUCUUUCUAUCUAAAUUUAAUAGUUUCAAAUGAAUGAUCACGGAUGCUUUAUCCAUUAUUUAUGUACAAUUUUAAGUAAUAUCCUCUUCCGUAUAUUCUAAUUCCAUUCUGUAUACAUGAAAGAAAUUAAAAAUUAAAAAAGGAAGAAGAGAAAAAAUCCUCAUUCACCUCUAUCAAUUAAACCUUAAAAUUCUCCCUGCUUGAUUUAAUAAUCUCAGUGGACAGUGACACUACACAGCCACCAGACACUUUAUCUACUUUAGACGGUCGAAGAACCUGCACCACGAGCAAAGUUAGAAAAGAUUUAUCCCCUAUGGAGUCAUCCGCCUCCCAGGCAACAACAUUCCUCGAAAGGAGCGUAUUCGUUAUAAAGUGACGGUACGAGCAAGACCCUUCCUUGGCCGAUACGAAGAAUUUUGCAAGAAAAAGGAACAAUUCGAUCGUGCUGGGAUCCACGAAACGCAUCACCUGGCCGCGCCUAAAGAAACCAUCUGAUCAAUCCUCUUUUCAUUUCGUUGCCACCCUCUAAUUCUAAUAUCGUCUAUCGAUCCUGUCGACUCAUUCCUCCCUCUCGAGUUCAUCGUUCCUUUUCACCUCUUCUCUCGUGACAACGACUCGAAAAAGUCGACAGAAUGUCUUUUGUACGAUGAAAAAUGGUGCAAUAGUGAUUUCAUUAGGAUGGAAUAGAGCAAAUGAAAUAUAUUCUCCUCUCUUGUGAUUCUUAUAAAAUCUUGAUUUAGUGAGACGUUUAAUGGUGUUAAAUAAUGAUUAAUGUUACUUUCGAAAGAGCUUAAAUUAGAGAAAGAAAGAGUACUUAUUUGUAGUUGCUUUAGAAUAUUAUUUUUUUUCUAUUUGUUAUAUUUAUUAUGUUUAUAUUGUCGCGACUUAUAUUGGAUAAUAAGUAUAGUAGAUUUUUAAUUAUUUCCAAUGUUUCUUUCGUCUCGUGUUACUUUCAUCCUUACUUUCUCUCUUAUACCUUACAUUUUGUAUAUUCUGGAAGUCAAAUAAUCCGAUUCAUUAGUUAUAAGAAACGUCUGCAAUCUGUCUGUCCAGUUAUAAUGAAUCAACAUCCUUCUUUGUGGGAAGAAGGAUGUCUUUCAUAUAAUUAUCCAGUUUCACUAGUUACGCCGCAAUGUAUCGGCGUCUUUGUGAUUAUAUUGCUUUUGUGAAUCAUUGAGUAACCGCAAUUGUGGAUUCUUAAUAAUUUUUUUUUAUUACGAUGCAUAUUUAUCGUUUAUCUUUUUCGAAGAAAUUAUUAUCUCAUACUUUUUUUGUAAUAUCUCGUUUAUUUAUCGAUUAUCGGAUAAAUGAUAAAUAAUUUUCACAAAUAAUCUACUUCUUGUAAAUUUAGUGGCUUAAUGAUAAAAGAAAUAAUAGGAGAUUAUAUUUGAUUAGUUUUUGUUUAAUAAGUUUUUUUCAAAGUUUAUUUUAAUCAAUGAUUGUAUAUUAAUUUCUGCAAUCUCUCGAUAUAGUGACUAAUAUGAACGUAGUCAUUGACGAUAUAAAAAUGAUAACACCAGUUUAUUACCAGUUUUAUUAGGAAACAUAAAAAAAAGCAAAUAUUGCAAAAAUUUAUUACUCAUAUUAUAUCUCGCCAAUUAGAAUAAUAAUAAUAAAAAAAACGUCAUUAAUUUAAAUAUACAACAAUCAAGCGUCCAUUAUAUUUCCUUUCCUCAAUUAUAAUAAUUAAUCUCUAUUCUCCAUACAUUCAGCAUCCUUCUAACUUACAUAUUUCUUCGUUUAUUCAAUCAUAUUAUCGCUACUUCGUCAUUAGAUAUUUUUAUUAAUCACGAUUCGCGAAAAAUCUCGUAUUCUUCCAAGAAAACCCAUAACUCUAACUAAUUCCUGCAAUAAAUUUCACUCAAUCGAAUAGUCUAUGAAUAUCAUUACAAAUUCACCUUCGAUGCAUAAUCCAACUUCAUACUUUACUUGUUGCACGAUGAAAAAAAAAAGAACGAGGGGAGCAAUGGAUGAAUCGCUGAUUCAUCCAUCAACGAUUAUGGCAUCGAUUCUUCCGGUUUCGCGAGCGACUCACGAAAGGAAGUUCACAUGCCUUCGAUUUCCCUUUCCUUUCGACAAAAUUCAAUCGCGGUUAAAAACCACAGGCACGUGCAGUCUCAAUUGUUUCACAGAGAUCACGAUUUUUCUUUUUUCAGAAGAGGAAAAUUUUUUUCGGGUGGAAAGGAACGCGUGUACGUCAAAAUAGGAAGAAAAAGUUACAAUAAGAAUUACGUUCUUGCAAUCAGAAAAGAGUAAAAUGAUGAGGAAAAUGAGAAGAAAUUUUUAAUUUGAUAUUAGUAGUAAAAUUAUUAACUUGAUUUUCAUAUUUUUGUUUUUUUAAAUAUUGAGCAUCUUCUAUUCUUCUAACUUUUGUGUUUUUAUAUCUUAUUUAAUCUUUUUUUUUUUUUUUUUUUUUUUUACAUCCCAUUGGCAUCUAAGAGAAUUACACACAUGUACAACGGCUUAUCGUAACGAGAAAUCUAGUCUAGAGCCAGGAUUGCAGGAAAUUUGUUACAAUUAAAUAAUUGGUUUGUGACAGAGAAUUCAUUUUACUCCAUGGAAAUUCCUUCAGUCAACGAUGUCAAUUCGAUUUCUAUUCUUCUUCUUGGAUCUUACGUCAUAUAACUCGAUGGAAAAUUUCCAUUGACUCGUUGACAAGGGAAAAUCAAUUAGCUGGUUUCGAGAUUGGAUAAUUUCCACGUUUUCCUUCCGCGUUACGAUAAAAAAAUGGAGUUGUUGCCUCUAGAGUUACGUUUCCAUGUAAUCCUUUUUGAUGUCAAUUAACUAAUAACUACACGAGUUACAUGAAUUUAGUUUUCAAUCUGUGGUAUUGUUUGGUUGAAAUUAUAAAAGAUGAGGAGGAACGAUAUGAAUUGUUUGUCUCGAAAAAUCGCUCGUUGAUUUGAAUCUGCUUUAAAAAUAUUUGAAACUCUUGGAAAAAUAAAGAAUUAGAAAUAAUUGUGAUAUAUUAUAUUAGAACUAAUUCGGAAAUAUGUUCGAAAAAAAGGUUAUAAGAUUUAAAAAGCUUUCGAUAUUUGAUUCGAUAUAAAAUAAAAUGUAACAUUUGGAUGAUGCUAACAUGACUUGAUGAUAACAUAACUUGACGAUAGAUAAAAAAUUUCUCUCAUUAUAUUCCAACAAACAUCACUUUCGACGCCACUUUUAUCCAUUACUUUAAAUUAAACUAUUUAAACUCGAGUAAGAUUUAUCUAAUUCGAACAAGAUUUUCGUCCUACUUCUUCGUGAAAAUAAACGUUUCCUCGUGAUCUCCGUCCUUCCCUAUCGUGACAUUUCGCCCAGACCGCUAAUAAAUAAUUCCUAUGCAAGGAUCGGCCGCGUGUAAUUAUGCGCAAGGUUUGCAGGAUGCAUCGUACAUACAUUUUCUCUUCCAGGUUCGAUUGAAAUGCAUCGCGAUGAAUGAUCCGCAAAGGCCGACAUACCCGGCCGACAAGAGAUCUGUACUGGCCUACAAUGGCGAAUUUUUUCCGAUAACGAAUGCACCUUGCCUUCGUUGCAUCGUCGAAAAUGCGUCACCUUUUAGCAUCGUCUUCUCACAACUUGAGACCGAGUGACUCACAAUACCAAUAAGUUUCGUUCCUUUUUUCCUCCCUCUUCGUUCCGUUUCCUUUGUCUUCUUUUUCUUCUCCUUUUUUUCUUUAUUAUACUCGUGGAAGAUUUUAUUUUAUUUUAUUCUUUAUUUUUUUUACGGAAUCGGUGACGAUAUCCAGGGAUACUGCUCGAAUCUCUGGAUGCGUGGAUCGUUCAGGAAUUUGAAACUCGAUUGUAAGGAUCAAUGAUUCAGUCUGAAAUCACGACUUGCAUCGAUUCCUAUCGAUGCUGAUUAAUCGUUUGAGGCUAGCACUUUUGAUUAUUUAGAACUGAUAUCGAUGGUUUUAAUCGUAUUAACAUACAUCGUCAAGAUAUAUGAGAGAAGUUGCGCAAGUUGUGACUACGUUAGAUAAUUUUAGAUACAGGUAAUUCUGUUUAUAAUUAACUGUUAAUAAUUUUGUUUAAAAUUUUCUUACUUUUUAAAUAAUAAAUUUUAUCGAUAAAUUUUAGAAUAUUUAAAAAAAAUUCGUAUUCUUCGAAAAUUAACGAAAAUUAGAUUUAAUAUGUGCUUCUUCAGUCAUGAAUACGUGUAUACUUACGUAACAAAGAUAAUUAUGAUCGUCAAAUAGCAAUUUUUAUAAAUUAUAGAAAAAUAUCGAUUCGUAUCGAAUAUUUUUCCUUAUCAUUAUUUUCAUAACAUAUUAUUCUUUUUUUUUCCUUUCAGAAAAUGUUAUUUCCGGUAAAUAUGAUCGAUCACAGAUGAUUCAUUCAUUAAAUAAUUUUCCAAUUUAGAUAUUUUUUAAUUUUUUUUUAUCAUAAUCCGUACAGAUUUUUUUAUAAAAUAAACUCUAAUAUUGUUGUGUCAAUUAAUCUUGAUUUAUCGGUUCGUAAAGUUUAUGAUAAUUUUUAAUUUUCAAUUUCGAAAUUAUGAUAAUAAAAAGAGGAAUUAUGUAAAGUGGAAUGGAAACUGUUCUUCACAUUGUGCAAGAAAGACUUAAAUAUCUUGAAGUUAUUCAUGAAUAUAAUUUAUGCAAUAGAAACUUUACUUGUCUGGAAUAGAAUCUAAUGCAUGCAAAAUUAUUAACAAGUUGCUACGUUGUACAAACAAUAACGACAUUGUUCCUUCCAUCUAUAUCUCUUAACUCGUCUCUAAAAGGAAUAGGAAAUGAGAAAAAUGGACAGGAAACAAGGGAGAAAUAAAUGUGUAAAUAAGCAGAGCAAUGGAUAAGUGGAGAAAUGGGGCGAAUGAUAGAUACAAUAAUAAGAAAAGUGGGUGUAAAGUAGAGGAAAAUUGUCCGCAAUUCAACGAAAUUCUUCCAGGAUACAACUUAUCCACGCUGGUUAAAAUAUGAUUCACAGAAUUUUCAUCUUUUACAUUUCAUUUUCCAAAACUUUCCUUUAUUAAAAAAAAAAGAAAUCAUUUAUUACAAAUACACACAUCUGACAUUUCUACAUAAUUAUCCAAAUAAUAAAUACAUUUUUGACAAAUCAAAAUUUAAAUAUCCAGAAUGUUUAAAAUCUAGAAUGCACAAUACAAAAUACCCAAUAAGAAGAUUCACAUCAUCACGUACUCAAGCGCAUAAUCCUCGUCUAUCGUCAUUUAUUAUUAAUAACUACGAAGAAGUUUAAAAAACUUAAAUGGUUCUAGAUCGAUCGAUUCGAUAAAACGCGAUCACCCAGACACGUGCCUGCGUUCGCUCGCUUCACGGAUUUACGAGGCGAACGGGAUGACGGAAGUGGAUGGAACAACUGGUAGAGGAAGUCGUUCGACUCGCCUCGAUCAUGCGCGCGCUCUCAAUGUAACCUGCCCCAUUCAGGAUUCACUAUGCGUGCUGUGCAGAUGAAUUAACGACCGCCUCACCCUGAAGUCUGAUCGAUCCGACAAUUAGAUUCGAAAUUUUCGAAAAUCUCAGGCCUCCGUGCGUAAUACGUGCCUCUCGAUUUUUCGAGGUCGAUCGUUGCGAUAAUGAAAACGUCGUUCCCUGCGAAGGCAAAUUGUUAUUUUUAGAAGAGAACGAUGAUCCUGCGAUCUUUUCGUAUUUUUCUUCGUUUUUCCUCUCUUGAAUUUUAAUCGGUAUUUGCUUACUUCUGGAUCUCAAGGUGCUAAUGUCUCUCGCAAGUUCUGAUAAUAAUAAAAAAAAAAGAAUCGGGAAUUUUUAAUUUUUUUUUCUUUUCUAAAGAAACUUGUUAUUCCUUGUUUAAUAAAAUAGUAGUUCUACUUUAGUCAACGGGCAUUGAUGUGUCAGAUUUAAACUAUUUUAUAUUUGAUGUCAUGAAAAUAAAAUAUAGGUAUACGUAAUAAUGUUUCUAUCUCGAUAAAAUGUAUUAAUUUUGUAGAAAAAUUUUUAUGUUAUUUGUUUUUUCUUACGUUACGUAUUCAUUUGAUAGCUCGAUCUUAGAUAUCAAAAAUUUAAAAGAAUAAGAUGAUAAGAUAAAAGAUAAAUUGAGUUGUUAAACAUUUAAUGAAUGAAUAUCUGAUUUUUAUUUUAUGGACAUGUGUUAUGCUUUUUUUCUUUCUUUUUUUUUUUUUUCUAUACAUUAUGGUAGACUCUAUUGUAUUGAAUGCAUAAUAGUAGCGGCCUAGAUAGUCGUAGUCAAUAAUACCUGUUCACCUACCGUUACCGUGACGAAAGGAUUAAUAAAAGGCAGUAUUUAUAUUUACUUUUUUAGUAAAGUUGUUAACGUAGAAUACUUUUUUAGAACUUAUAUUUAAUUAAAAUUUUCGUUCUUUAAUUAUAAAUUAUUCUUCCAGUGGAUCACACUGAAUUGAAAUUACUCAAAAUUCAUCAAAGUUUCGUAAUUUCUUACUUCAUUUGAUUGCUAUUAAAAGGAGUGAAUAACGAUCAAAGUAGUUGCUCGAUUAAAUCAUCGAUUAUUAUACAAUAUAACGGAAUGAGUUACUGUAAAUAUAUGUUAAAAUUCCGCAAAGUUGAAUACAAUUUUAUCGUUUAAAUUCGUUUCGUAUUCUUUCUCCGUUCGAAUCGAUGUUUACAAUUCGAUCAGGUGUAAAACAAUUGCAGAGAGAUCGCUCUUUCUUAGAUCGACGUUGACGCAAUUUUUCAUCGAUCUGGAAGAAUUUCUAAUUUUAUGCUUCAGUUCAUAUUGAUAUGUUUAUGCAACGAUCACGAUCACGCAUAAUUAAACAAAUGGAAGAGAAGUUCAUUCGCCACUCCGAUACACAUUUUAUUUUAAAUUUCAAAAUAGGGAAAAUAAGAUACAGUGAUGAAUAAUUACGAGUAAAAUAAAAAGGAUCUAUGCUUUCAAGCAUUUUUAUCUAUCGUUUCUUUCGUUUCAAAUAUAAAACGAUCGAUUCUUCUGUAUAAUCAUUAGCGUUUUAUAUUUCAUUAUGAAAUAUAAUACGUAUAAUUUGUGAUAUUUUGUGCACAGCUUAAUUUCGAUGAAAUGAAAAGAAUUUACUUUUAAAGUCUCUAAUUUAUUCAAACCGCGAAAAGAUACUCGCGAUGAAAACAGAUCGAAGAUCGAGGAGAUAGAUAUCUAUGAGGAGCUGUUCAUCAGUUGCAAACGAAGGUUUCUGAGCGUGCUGGCGGCAUUUCGAAAAGCGGACGAAGGGAUUCCAGUAACACGACCGACCUUGCUGCCCGGGAAAUCGGCUGAAUAAUUCAAAACGUUCCAUUCAGAAACCGUCUAUGGCAUAUCUAAUUUUUUAUAUGCAAACGCUAGGUAACACAGAGGCGAAGCACAGAAGCUUGAGUUUCCUAUUCCCUUGUCUUUAUCGUGAUUGAAAUAUCAAGGCGUCGUUAUUUCAUUCGAAAUCGACAAUCUAAUCUGAUCAAGAGGCGAUCUCUGAAAAAGAUCUCGAGUUUCAGGAAGCAUUACCACUUCGUUAGAAGGAUUCUUAUUAGACGUAUUUUGUCAUUUUAGCGUUCGAACGUUGCAUAAAACAUAUAAUGAUGGAUAAUAUCAUUGUUAACUAAUCGAAUCAUUAUUUUAAAAAAAGUCACAAUUUCUCAUAAAGAAUUUUCAUCAAGAAUAAAAAUUUAAUUGCUCUUGCAUAAAUAUGUAUACAGAUUAUUAACUUGAUCUGUUCGGAUAAAACGUAAUGUUUUUAGAUCCGUAGAGUGAAAAAAAGGAAGAAGUUACACAUAAAAAUUUCAUGACCAAGUUUCUUAAAAAAUUCUUCUUCAAAAAUAAUUCGACUUUCUUUAAUCCCACUUCAUUUUCUUUAUUUUGCAAAUUGCAACCACAGUCACGAUAACAACAAAAAUCGCAUUAAAUAUUUAACAUAAUCCCUCCGUAAAACGAAAAACAUCCGACUACCGAAUCGGCCGCGCGGUACACGUGUGCCGAUCAUGCUGAACGCACGUUGGAAAACAAACGAAAGAGGAGGUCUCGACGCCACUUUUGAGCACGUUCGUUUCGUGUAUUCCAGUUCGCGGUGAGAUUUGUAUUUAACGCGGUGUCGAACGGAAUAACGAUCAUCGGAGGAAAACAACCGCGAGAAGAUUCAUGUUCGACACGCGCGUGGCCGGUGAAUAGAUGCUCGUCCAUCCAAAAAGAAUAAAAUAAAAAAAAAAAAGUGGAAAACGAACAGCGAACGCGCAUUCCCGCAUAAAUGCAUUCGAACGUGGCACGCCUCGGUGUAGAGGGCGCGAGAGAUAUAUCGGAAUGCGGCACGCUUGUUGCCAUUUUUCUUUCAUCUGGCCCGCUGUCGUUACGUCGAAACGCGACGAAGAUUCGGGGAAGAGGUUUGGUAGCCGAUGAUUUCUGUUUGGUAAUAGCAUAUACGUCUUGUAUUAUGCAUUAUGGUUUUGAAGAUGAGCUGUUCCUUUCGUGGGGCGGCUUGGAUUCAAAUGAUAUUUGAUCAAAGCCUCGUUCACGUCCCUUGAAUAAUUUGUGGCAAAUUGAGUUUGAAGUAUCAGUUGAAAUAUUUUCUUUUUUUUUCGAGUGAAAGAAAGUGAUUCGUUAUUAUUAUUAUUCGUUUGAUAAAUGAAAAUGAUUUAGGAGAACGUUUUGGAAUCCAAACGUUGUGGAAAAAUAUUCGUAUAAGUAGGAUCGUGUAGGGAUUACGUUUUUGAUAUAGAUUAGGUGUUCAUGAUUCGUCACAACUCAUAAGCUUAUUCAUCUGACGAUCAUAAACGGAAAUUAACGUUUCAUGACAAUGUGCUGUUCUUUGACCACGCGUUCUAUGACAAGAAAAUUAAAUGGUUGUAAAGGAUCGCAGGUGUUUCUACUUUUAACGAAAACUAUUUGUGGAAUCUACGAUUUAUCACAUGGCAGGAAAAUUUUCCCGAUCGAAGUUGAAAGUUAUCCAAGAUUUACUUUUAUGCUUAACAUUCAGUAAAAUAUUCAGAGGUCAGGAAGAAUUUCCUCAAGAAUUCCUAUUCUUACCUUCGUUUAAUUUAACGUUUCAACAAUCUUCGUGUUUCUUCGUCACUCUUCCAUCUAAAAAUUAUUGUACAUUCAUAUUUGUAUCGUAUGAAUUCAUAUUUAUCGAUUUAUUCAAUUAUAAUAAGUCAAAAUUUCGUCGAAAAAUUAUUCGAUUCGUUUCGUAAUCGUCAAAUAAUAAAUUUUACAGUUUCAGAUUAUACAAUUACGAUCUUCCUCCUUACCCCUGCACACAGUAUACCAUUUUAACCCAUAAGAUCCACCAGCCUGGUCCCCACCUCGUACGAGAUAACCUUCCCCCAUCCAAAGUAGCCAAACACCCAUAAACCGAUUAACCGAAUCGUUCCGAAUCAUCCAUUUACCAUCAAUUCAAGUCAUCGCCCUUGAUUUAUGCAUCCUGUGCACCCGAUGGACACGUCGUUUAAUCGGUAUGACGGCAAGGUGUAAACCUCUCCCCUUUGUAUUUCGUUUUUUACGACCGAUACCCGAUCGGCACCGCCGCGAAUGGAGUUAGUAUCACGGAGAAAUGGCCUGUUCGAUGCGUUUAAACGACGGGCUGUGGCCAUAUAAUCCGUGCAUCAUUCGCGAAGGGAAGAAGCGGAGGACGAGGAUUGCCUGGCCAUGGGCAAGUUCACUGAUCCCAGUGUGUCGCGUUCGAAACGUGCCACGCGGAGACACGAUGGAUAUGUGUAUAUACACACGCUCGAUUCGUGGCCACGCUUGUGGCGAGAGUGAGUUGAGAGAGAGAGAGAGAGGAGGAGGAGAGAGAUUGGAGGAGAAAUAAAAAGGAGAAAGAAAGAAAAAAAAAAGGAAAAAAAAGAAGGAAUAAGAGAGACGCGAACUCGCUCUUACACCGUGAACAUGGCCAUGACGUGAAAGCAAAAGAAGGCAUGCGUUACAUCCGAGCGAUACGUUCCCCUCGGCUGCUGAAUGUCAAUGCUUUAGGGCGCUUCUUGGAAUUCAGGCGAAAAAUCGAUGAUCCCUAGCCUGACCGAGCCGAUAACGAAACUCUUGAACCGCGAUCGUUCACCUUUUUCGUCCCGGCCGAAGCAGACCGAUUUCUCCUCCCCGAGUUCGGCUGAAUUUUCAACUUUUAUUUUUUCAGGCGUAUGCUGUUGUGUGUGUUCGUUGUUGGGAUCGUUUCAGAGAUCCUCGGCGGGGGGAUUUGGGAAUAUUAUAAUCGAGAGCAUGUUGAUGGAUUCUUUUAUUAGCGAGGUUUGCAGGAUUGCGGCCUUGAACUUAGAAAUUAUUUUCGAUUCUCCCUCUUAGUCACAAGUUUACUAUAAUAAUAGUAAGAACUGGUCAUCUCGAUGCAUGCAAAUUGGAAUAAUUGAUGCGUGAAUAAAUUUGGAUUCUUAUGACUGAACGAUAAAUUAUUAAUCAAAUAAUAUCUUUAAUAUCUGUCUUUAUAUUUACCAAAAAAUACUUGAUUUUAUAAUGACAACGAAUCCUUGAGAUUAUUGAAAUACUCGUCAUAGCAAUAUUUUUAAACUUAUGGAUAUAGGAAUAAUUCAAAAAAAUAUAAACUUUUUAGAGGACGAGAUAUUUGAAACCUUCGUUGUUAAAACAAUAAAAAUAUAUAUAUAUAUAUAAUUCUACAAUGAAUAUAUUAAAUUUGUUUGGACAAAAAUAUGUUGUCUUUACUUCAUUUUGAAUUAUUCUUUUUAUGCAUAUAUUUUAUUUUUCCAUUUUAUCAAUGAGAUAAAUUAUUAUAUAAUUGGCAUUUCUAAUCCAAUCAAACGAACAAACGUAUAUUCCUAUAUUCUCCUCCUAAGAAACGUAGUGCUCAAAAAUCUCAAGCCAAUAAUUACAAGUCUGAUUACCACAACACUAAUUAAUAUCCCUCGCAAUUAAGCAAUAUUGUUUUCCACGAAAUAACGCCUGUGUCUUGGACUCUGCCAUAAACUCCAUCAGGCUUGCACGUGCUCCAGCUACUCUCGCGAAGCCUGUAUUUAUGUAGACAACUAUUUACACCGGCCAAGGUAAAGCACGAUGAUUGUACGGGAAUUCACGGUACAUAUGCUUCACGAGCGGGCAAACAACGAGCGGUCGAGAGGCAACCGAGGUACAAGUGGGAUUAUUAAUUGCAGACAUCUUGUCGCCCCAUCGUCGUGUCUAUCGAGGAUGAAGAGAACGAGAGAAAGAGAAAAAAAAAGAAAAAUUUUUCUUCCUCGAGUGCACUAUCGCGCUACGGCUAACUGUUUGCUCUCCGUCCGGAGAGGCCAGAUCUUUGUCGCGUCUAGUGAUUUUCUCGUCGGCAGAAAGACGAGAAGCGCGAGGAUUUCUUCUCGUCGCACGGGACAAAAAGGACCUUGGAAUCCUGGGGCCCGGUGUCACCGACAUUCCCACAGGAGUCAUCCUAUUAUAUUUAAAUUGAGCAAGCGUGCCUUACGCCCAUAUAUACGGCUCGACGUCUCGUGUGUAUGCGAGCACGUGAGCAAGUAAACGGCGACGGGUCAGAGCCACCGGCAAGCCCACUCCACGCGAAUCUCCCUUCGAUUUUUCUUUCUUUCUUCGACUAAGGAUGAACACUUUCGUUUGUCACCGCGGCUGAUCCAUCCGAUCGCCGGAAGUUAGACGUGUCUGCGGCUAAUAUUUAUGCUAAGUAGCGGUAUAAUCAGCUGACGGAAUAAUUUUUGUUUUGGUCCCUCGAGAGAGUCUAAAUAAAUUGCUGGAUCUCUUUUUCUCAAAAUAGGUUGAAUGGAUGAAUGUUAUAAUUUAAAGGAAUCGAAUGAAAUUUUAUAUGUAAGAAUUAUGGAUGAAAAAUGUUGAUUGAAAUGUAUGUUUAUAUUCAAGAGGAGCGAGAAAGAUACGAAAUAAUUCAAGGAGUAUUAGGAAAAGGAAUUAAUUUUGUUUAUUUUCAAUUAAUAUUUAAAUUUUUGAUCGAUUUUUUUUUAGAUACUUUUGCGUUCAAUGUUUAAAAAAAUAAAUAGGAAUAAUUUGUAUUUUUGAAUGCUUUUUUUUUUAUUACAUAUUAAGUAGCGGAAGUUCAUAGGAAUUUCUAGGCAUGUUUUUAAAAAUAUUUUAUGAUUAUUAAAUGUUUUGGUAUCGUAAUCUCAUGUGUAAUUUUCUAGUUGAUAUUUCAACUUCUAUAUUAAACAUAAUAAUGAACCUUGGGAAAAGCAAUGAUUGAAUGCAAAAUACACUACGUAUGAUGAAUACUUAUCAAAAAAAAAAAAAAAAAAAAAUGAAACAUUUUAAUUAAAUCUGUCUUGUAUUUCGAAGGAUUGAAAGUAUAUUAAAUUUAUAUAAAAAUAUUAUUUAUAUAAAUUAUUAUAUAUUUAAAAGGAGGUAGGAUGAAUUGUCAAAUCGAAGAUGAUGUUGUAUCAUUCUGGCUUAAAUAUUAAAAAUAAAGAUAACAUUUAUACUUCAAUAUAGAAAAUAUUUACGUCUAACAACAGUACACAGAGGCAGAACAUUAAAUUAUACUUUUAUUAUAUUCAUAAAAAUUAAAAUGUACACACCUUAUUGUUUAAGUCAUACUCGUAUUAGCUUCUAUGUAAGUAUCGCAGUAUGUAUAAUAUUUAACAAUAGAGGUAUAGGUACUCUCUCGAGACGAGAUGAGCUUACGAAAAGAAUACAUGAAUUUUUUUUUUAUCCUUGGGGUGAUACGGUAUUUUGUAGCUUACUUCCGAUAAUUAUUAAUAUUAUUGACUGCUUACAAAAUAAUACUAUUACACAAUAAGUCAUCUCUCGGUUUACGACACAGUUCCGGUGUGAUUCCAUUAAUUUAAUUAUCGUUUCAGCCCUCAGAUGGCCCUACGAGAUCGGAAAAAAGUAGUACAAUAUAGUCCGUCUCUGACAAUAAAUAGGGGAUACCGCGCGAUUCCGCUACAAGUCCGCUACUAAAGAAAACAAAGAAUGAUUAGCUUUUUUUUUCCUUUCGAAGAAAUUACAUGGAAUAUAUCUCCUACCUAUAUUUUUUUUUUAAUGUAUCAUAUUUUUUUUUUUUUUUUUUUGCUUUUCUUACUUAUCUUUCUUCACCGCUAAGCACGUCGUGCCACUAGUGCGUACGCCUGCGAUCGGAUGUGUAUGUGCGUGUGUAAUACGUAACGUGAUCGUUAUGUGUAUAAUAAAGAUGUUCGUUAAAAGUUAACGUUGAAAAAUAUGCCCGCAAAAUAGAGAAAAACCUUUGCUCGAUCGAAGCCUGUAUAAUAAUAAAAUCGUCAAGCGUGUGAGGCUAAUAAGAUGUGGAACUAGAUAUUGAAAGAAAUGAGGUGAAAAAUUCAUUCGAUUGCGAUAAUUUUUGUUACCUACGUUCCAGUUGAAAAAGAUUGCGAUGAUAAUAAAAAUGAGUUUGUAUAGAGCGACGACAAAACUUCCAUAAAAGCACGUACGUCGUAUGUAAUGCGAUCUUGUUUCCUUUUUCUCGUUUUAUUUUUAUCGCGUGUCGAUCCUGUUUUGUUUAAUGUCCACGAGUGAGCAAGUGUGGGAAACGAACACACUAUGCUUGAAAAGCAUUCUCCGUGCAACGAGCACAGUAGCACCAGCGCGCGUGAAAAAGGUACGAUGCUAAUUUGAUCGCUAACUAUCGUCUAAAGUAAUGGAAUUUGAAUCUUCGCCGAGAUGUCGACGUGUUAAUUAUUCACUAUAUGCGUAACACGAAAUAAAAGUCGCCUAAGCGCCUCUGAUUUAUCUUACUUCUAUUUUUUUUUUUACAUUCCCGGUUUCGAUCACCGCUUCGAUCACGAUUGCAAUCACACCCUUAUCAAUUUGUCCACGUUAUUGAAAUAUAUACAUCGUGUGUAUUUUUCCAACAACUUUUCCGCGUUUCAAUUCCCUUUAAUUAUGAUCUUUCAAUUGUAAAAAAUACGCGAUCAUACAGAAGAUGAUUCACGAUACUUUUCAUUUUUGAUUGAGCAAUCGAGGUUAGGAUUUUGACGUUUGAUUCGAUACAUCAUAUCGAUUUAUAUGUACGCUAUUCGAUUUCGGAUGUAUCGAUUUAUUUGAUAGUAAUGGAGCGUCUCUUUCGUGACGCGUUUUUUUUUUUUUGAGCUUUUCAAUUUUUAUGGGAAUUGAUUUGAAAAGUUUUUGAAAUUCGAGUGAUUUGAGUGUUUUAAUUUUAAAUAAAAGUAAUGACUUUUGAUUAGUGUGCUCUUGCAAACGCGAUCGAAGCAAUAUCGUUACAAUAUCAAGACGAUUCAAGUUCAAUUGCUCGAUGUUCUUUGCUAUUUUGCAUUGAAUAUCAAUUAUUACGAGGUAUAAUUAUUAUUUGAGAAAAUUUUACAAUAGAAUUACUUGUUUUAUUAAUUACUUGUUUAAGAUGCAUAUAUUUCUGAUAAGUUGUUUUAUAAAUAUUUAGUGGAAUAACACUUUUUCGAUAUUAUUUAAAAUACAUGCAUAUAUUCAAAAUUCUGUUAAUAUUAUUACUUUGAUUCUUUUCUUUUCUUAGUUUUUGAUUUCAAUUCUCAAUCAGAUGUUAAUUAAAUAUUUUUUAAAUCUUAAUUAAUAAAAAAAAUUGGAAAUUUUUAAACUAUUAAAAUAAUCUGAUAAAGUACAUAAUAUAUCAACAUGUUAAUGUUGCAUUCAUAUUUACUAGAAAAAUGUUAAUUGUAAAAUUAGUUUAAAUUAAUAUUAAUAAAUUAUAUAUAAAAUAAACCAUACUCAACAAUAGAUUCAUUGAAUAGAUUAUUUAUAUUCAUCUAUCUAUUUUUGAUUCUAUUUUAUCUAUUUUAUCAAUCUUGUAUAUUACGUAAUAUACAAGUAAAUUUCUACAAUUGUACAUGAGAUAUUCGUUGAAAAAGUUAAUAUUCACUUUGUUCUGUCAUUUCUAUAUACGACGUUACAUCAAAAGUAGGAAAGUAGAAAUAAAAAAAAAAAAAAAUAACGGAACACGAUUAAAGUGAAAAUGUUCAAAUGAUUUGAUCACGCGAACAUCGUAAUGGAAACACAAAAUGGCAGAACAUCCCGCGAAUCGUCCUUGUAUCGUCCCACAGUCUUACAUAAGACUUCAUCCGAAUAGAUAUCAGUUGAAUGGGAAUUGAUUCUAAACACGUUUUCUGCCUUUAAUCACGCAAUGCAAAAAUAGGCUUUCCUAUUUCCGGUUACCUAGUACCGGAGCGAAUGACACAGCGAUCUACGGAUCUACAGAGAAUUCCCAAAAUUCUUACAAUCUAGUAUCAAUCAUUUUUUUUUUUCUUAUUAACUUUUCUCGUUUUAUUCGUCCGAAGAAGUUGUUCUAUAUUAUUACAAGGCGAAUCCUCGAUCGAUUGGAGUAAACGUAUUCCAAAAUUUUUCUUUUUGAAUUUUUUGACCGCCAGCGAUCAAUUCGAAUUCAAUCAAUUGAAUAUAAAAUAAUAAUCUCUUUUUAAAUACUUUUUAUAACAUUGUGAAUUUUUAAAUUUAAAUAACCGAGUAGUAUAAUCGGAUUUUAGAACGGUUUAAGAAUAUCAAGUCUCAAUAUUUGAUCAAUAUCGAGUAUCGUUAUAUUUGAAAAUACAUUAUUCGCGAUAUUAUGAACAUUGAAUAGUUCUCUUAAGUACUCUUGAAUAUUAAAUACCGGUAUUUAAUAUGUUAGAUCAUUGAGUACGAAUAUUUAAAUAUUUCUCAGUACUAAAUACCAGUAUUAAAGUAUCAUAGAAUAAUAAAUAUCAAUAUUUGAGCACUUUUGAACUAGUAUUUGAUAUUUCAGUGAAUAUUUAACUUUUCGAUGUAAUAAAUAACGCUCAUUACAUGGAGCGCUAAUAUCUAAAUAGGAAUUAUCCUCGUACAAAUUAUGAAUAAACAUAUCGUAGUUAAAAAAUAAAAUCGUAGAAAUUGUUUUCUAUCAAACAAAUAAGAACGGAAUACGUCGUUCCAUGGAUCGAGUAUUCAAAAAGGUACAAUGAACGAAAAUUACACGGUCGACAAUUCUAUUUGGUCGCACCAACUAUAGAUUGAUUCGAUUGCAAUGUAUAGUGUCGGCCUCGGUAUCGCUGGUAUAACAACAAUCGAAGGGGAUGAUGAUGAUGAGGAAAAAUGGAGGGAUAAAGGGUAGAAGGAAUUUAUCUGUGAAGCUGGUGCACAUCGUAUCUAUAAUUUUCUUACAAUACUGUGUCGAUAAACGUCUAAGUACCGGUGUGUGUCUGAUGGUUUUCUUUUUGCGCACAUACCUUUUUUUAUCUUUUGUUAUUUGCUCUUUUUUUUUUACACAUUACAUUAAAAUAUAACACCAAUCUCGAUUCGCUUACGUUAUACAUAUAUAUAUACGUGAGUUCUUAUUUUUUUUGUAUUUUUUUUUUGUUUUUUAUUCGUUUCUUUUAAUGUAUUCAGCGAUGAUCGUUCGAACAGUCUCUCACCGUCAAGCGUUUAGAAGAGUUCCGAAUUCAAUAUUAACAUGUUCGCACUUCGCGUUUAUUAAUUGACGACACUGGAAAAUGCAGGCUUCGCGGAUAGCAAUUAAGAUAAGUAGGAAAGUCUCUGUGUAAUUAAUUAUUGAGUAGUAACAUAAUUAAAAAAAAAUUGUUUGUUUAUGUUAUUUUAAUUAUAACAAUCCAUUUCAUUAAUAAUAAAAUUAUUAAUAAAAAUAUUUUGUUAUAUUUUUACCGAUGAAAUCAUUUUUUUAUUUAUAUUUGAUUAAUAAUUUAUAGAGUUUUUCAAUCAACUCAACCAAAUUCUUAAUAAUUUUUUUCAUAUUUAUUUUGGAAUAUUUUUUUUUCCCCAAUUAUUUCUGAAGUAAGACAUAUAAAUUAUUAUUUUGAAAUUUAUAUUGUAAGAUAAAUAAAUAUUAUUUUAAUAGGUGAAUUUUUCAUACGUUACUACACAAUAUUUUUCAAUACGCUGUAAAGAUUUUUCUAAAAAAUUAUUGUGCUGUCAGUUUCGUGCUAAUUUUCUUGGAAAAGAAAAAAAUUGAAAGAUUUCCAAUUUCUUUUUUUACUGUUAUCCUUUAACGUUUCAACUAUUUAGUGGAUGGUUGUUGUACAAUUCUUUGAAAUUUGUAAACGCGAAUAAUCUUACUUUAAGAUAAUCGUGUAUUAAAGUACUUGUAAUCAAUAUAUUUUUUUAUUAUAUAAACAAUCGUAUGUAAAAAAAUUUAAAGAUUUUGAUUACAAUAAAAUCUUUAAUAAAUUAUAAAUAUUCAAUUAUCAAGAAUUCUAUCAUUUAGUUUAUCUAAUAAUUUCCAAGUCAAAUUGCAUUACAGAGAAUUAAAUUUUUUAAAAUUCUUUUUUUUUUACAUAUUUCAAGUCAGCAUACUCAAACCUUGUCACAACUUAACUUAAAGAACUUAAUCAAUAAUAUAAUUUUGAUUGCACAAGUACUUAAAUACCUUUCCUACUCACGUUUCACAAAAAUGGCCCACGCUCUUUAAAUCAUCGCACACGUUCACCAUUCUCUCACGAAAUUUCCAAAUAAUGAUUAUCAGAAAUAUUUUUGGAGCGUAUGCAAGAGCGAACAUUGCUGAGAUAUCACAGCCACAAUGGCUGGUUUUUUUGCGAUGGAUGCGUAAAAUGGUACCUUAAAUCGGUCGUAAUGCAUCGGCAGCAGUGCGGAGGAUAGAAAAACGAGGGAGCAGCGUAAAACGGCAAAAGAUUAAGUCUUCACAGCCUUUCAUAUAGUUAAGAGAAUCGAUUAGAUAUUACAGAGCAUUUUAUUUUUUACGGUUCGUUUUUUAUAUUUUUAUUAUUAUUUUUUUUAAUACUCUCGAAAAAAUGGACCCGUGCGACCCUUUGUUUCAACUUGUUUUUUUAUUUUAUUUUAUUUACUUUGUGUCUUCCUCUUGUUUUCUCUCUUCCUUUCUUCUUCUUGUUCUUCUUCUUCUUCUUCUUCUUCUUUUUUUCUCCUGUUUUUUUUUAUCGUUUUUAAUUAAUUUUUCUUCUGGAACUUAGACCGUGUGUUUCUUGUGUGUUUUGUAUUUUGUGGCUGUAGCACUUGCUCGGAUAAAAGGGGGGGGAUAAUGUUAAACUCGGAAGUCUUCCAGAGACAUUCGUAAAACCGAUUGGUCGAAAAUAUUAUUCUAGAAUCCGUUUAGGGUAUAAAGUGUAAUUGUGAACGAUUAUCAUAUUAGAUAAUUAUAACGAUAAAAAUGGACAUUGUCUUAUCGUGGGAUGGAAUAGGCUGUGUAAGCUCCGUCGAUGCUAAAUGCUCCACUGUGUGUUAUUGUAAACGUAAUGAGAAAGAAACAAAAGGCAUAAAAAAGAAGGAAAAUAUGUAUGUACAAUUUAUAACUUUUACAAUAAAACAAUUAUAAGAUACUUAUAAAUAAAAUCGGAGAUUUUACAAUUGUUGUUUAAACAAAAAUUUCAUGUUUCACUGUAUCGAUAAAAUAUAAAUAAAGAAACAAAAAAAAAAAAAAAAAGAAAAGAAAAAAAACAAAAAAUAUAAUGCAUCGCGUCUAAAAUGAAAAUUAUUUUGUUAACCGUAUGCCAGACAGGCAUGUAGCAUCACUGUGACAUUUAUGAGUCUUAAAUUUUCUUUCAUCUUUAAUAAUCUUGAAUUACCAAAAAAUGGACAGAGAUACCUUCGUUCGCGGCGUUUCCUUUUCGUGUAAAUUUUGUCUUUAUUUCUUUUAUAAUUUAUAACUUGUAAUAUUCUCUCUCUCUCUCUCUCUCUCUCUCUCUCUUUCUCUCUCUCUCUGUCUCUCUCUCUUAUAAUCGCUCGCAAGUACACGAAAUCAAGUCUCUCUUAAUAAAUCAACCACUGUUUUCAGGAAACGUCGCGUCGUAGGCGAGUUUUAUUAUUUAUAUUCAAUAAAUAUUACAUAUACAGUAAUAUGUUCAUUAUUGAUAUAGUAUUUAGUAUUGUUCUAAUUGGACAGAAGUUGUUGUUCAUGUUGUUGUGAUUAUUUGGUUGCUGUUGUUCACAAUUUGGGCGAAUUUUCCUUUCUCUCAUUCCUCCACGGUUAUCAUCUUAAUCGUUCAUUGCUUCUUUCAUUCAACGUUCAUUUCUUCGAUUCACAUCUUUAACCAUUUUUUCUUCCUUUAUACUAUAUUCUCCUCUUCUCUUCGUAUCCUUUUUUUUUUGCACUCCGCACAAUCUAUCUUGUAAAUUAAAAAAAAUAUGCGAUACCGCCAUUUGAUUUUUCUCUUAUACACGACACCUUUAUUAAUCGUCACUUAUUACCUUUUUUUCGCACAGUCCUUUUUUUACCUUCUUCCUCCUCUUCCUUUUCUUCUUCUUCUUUUUUUUUUUUUUUUAUCUAAACGAAUAUAUCGUAGAUUUAUUUAUUUAUUUUUUUCGUCGAACAAGAAAUCAGUAUCGUCAUCGUCGUACUGAGCAAAAAUCACGUUUUGAAAUCGUAUCAAAUAUAUAUAUGUAUAUUAUUAGAGUUAUAUCGCGGUGAAAAAUUUUAACCCAAGAGGAGAAAAGUGCAGAAUCGAAAUCGUGAUAAAUCGUGGAAAAACCACGAUUGGAAAAAACAGAGAAAGAAAGAAAUAACGUCGAAUCAACACGGUUAUAUGCAAAUUCAAAAUACAAUGAAGCAAGCUCGUAUUAUUAUUGUUAUUAUUAUUAUUAUUAUUUUUUCCAUUUUCUUUAAUAUUCGAUCUCUAUUAUCUAAAACUUACGAACCUAAUAUUGCGAUCCUAAUGUGAUCGUGUUGCACUCGAAUAAAAUACACAACUGGCCCGGCGAGUUAAUUUGUGAUAAAUAAAAACGAGGGUCAGUGUGAAUUUCCUUUCCUUUCCUUUUUUUUUUCUUUUUUCCUUUUUUUUUUCCCCCAUUUAAUUUCUAUGAUAUCGUGCAACACGGCACGAUUUUCUUCCAUACAUUUUGCGCUUUCAUAUAAAUUAAUCGCGUGUCAUGUUCGCGUUAACAAACGUAAUGCUGGACAGAGGACAAUAAUUGUAUGUUACAAUAAAAAGGAACUUAACAGAUUGCGCUAAAAAAAUACAAUAUAUAUAUGAAACAAUUGUAUACAUAUAAAAUCUUUAAAUAAUCUACGCAACGCGGUAAAUUCGUGUUUCGAGAAAAGAAUUCUUCUUUUUUUAAAUUAUUCUUUAUAUCCAUCCUGUAUUUAUUUAUUUAUUUAUUUAUUUAUUCUUCCAUUGGUUACUUCUCCGACAUUCAAAAUUACCACCUGGUAAUUUUGGAGAGUGUCUUUUUUUCCCCCCCGUAUAUUUCUAUGUAUAUGUUAUAUCAGCAAUUUUUU